UACGUAGGGUGCAAGCGUUAAUCGGAAUUACUGGGCGUAAAGCGUGCGCAGGCGGUUGUGUAAGUCAGAUGUGAAAUCCCCGGGCUCAACCUGGGAACUGCAUUUGUGACUGCACGGCUGGAGUGCGGCAGAGGGGGAUGGAAUUCCGCGUGUAGCAGUGAAAUGCGUAGAUAUCUGGAGGAACACCGGUGGCGAAGGCGGCGUUCUGGACGGCAACGGACACUGAGAGACGAAAGCCAGGGGAGCAAACGGG
rnacentral:rRNA from 1 species